rfam:Salmo salar isolate Sally breed double haploid chromosome ssa01, whole genome shotgun sequence.
ACAGCACCAAUUUGUAAGUCGCUCUGGAUAAGAGCGUCUGCUAAAUGACUUAAA